CCUACGGGCGGCAGCAGUGGGGGAUAUUGCACAAUGGGGGGAACCCUGAUGCAGCGACGCCGCGUGGGUGAAGGAGUGCUUCGGCAUGUAAAGCCCUAUCGGCAGGGAAGAAGCAAGACGUUACCUGACUCCGACGCCCCGGCUAACUACGUGCCAGCAGCCGCGGUAAUACGUAGGGGGCAAGCGUUAUCCGGAUUUGCUGGGUGUAAAGGGGGCGCAGACGGCGAUGCAAGCCAGGAGUGAAAGACCGGGGCCCAACCCCGGGACUGCUCUUGGAACUGCGGGGCUAGAGUGCAGGAGUGGCAGGCGGAAUUCGUGGUGUAGCGGUGAAAUGCGUAGAUAUCAGGAGGAACACCGGUUGCGAAGGCGGCCUGCUGGACUACAACUGACGUUGAGGCCCGAAAGCGUGGGGAGCAAACAGGAUUAGAUACCCUUGUAGUC
rnacentral:rRNA from 1 species